CUUGCUUGGGGUACUCGAGUGGCGAACGGGUGAGUAAUACGUGGGUAACCUGCCCUCUUCUUUGGGAUAAGCCCCGGAAACGGGGUCUAAUACCGGAUAUUCUGCUUCUGCCGCAUGGUGGGGGUUGGAAAGGUUUUUCGGUGGGGGAUGGGCCCGCGGCCUAUCAGCUUGUUGGUGGGGUGAUGGCCUACCAAGGCUUCGACGGGUAGCCAGCCUGAGAGGGUGACCGGCCACAUUGGGACUGAGAUACGGCCCAGACUCCUACGGGAGGCAGCAGAU
rnacentral:rRNA from 1 species